GGUUGGGUGGCCGAGUCUGGUUGAAGGCGCACGACUCGAAAUCGUGUAAGCGGCUUAAACCGCUUCGUGGGUUCAAAUCCCACCCCAACCGCCA
rnacentral:tRNA from 1 species